AGUGAACGCUGGCGGUAGGCCUAACACAUGCAAGUCGAACGGCAGCACAGUAAGAGCUUGCUCUUACGGGUGGCGAGUGGCGGACGGGUGAGGAAUACAUCGGAAUCUACUUUUUCGUGGGGGAUAACGUAGGGAAACUUACGCUAAUACCUCAUACGUCCUGCGGGAGAAAGUGGGGGAUCUUCGGACCUUACGCGAUCAGAUGAGCCUAGGUCGGAUUAGCUAGUUGGUGGGGUAAAGGCCUACCAAGGCGACGAUCCGUAGCUGGUCUGAGAGGAUGAUCAGUCACACUGGAACUGAGACACGGUCCAGACUCCUACGGGAGGCAGCAGUGGGGAAUAUUGGACAAUGGGCGAAAGCCUGAUCCAGCCAUGCCGCGUGUGUGAAGAAGGUCUUCGGAUUGUAAAGCACUUUAAGUUGGGAGGAAGGGCAGUAAGUUAAUACCUUGCUGUUUUGACGUUACCAACAGAAUAAGCACCGGCUAACUUCGUG
rnacentral:rRNA from 1 species